rnacentral:lncRNA from 1 species
UGCUGAGUUAAAUCCCUUUUCAAUGUAUCCCAAUUUAGGUAGGAUUUUUAGAUUUGACAAGGAUUGUAGUAGAUUUGCUUAAUCUCAAAAGAUAUGGACAACUAAUUCUUGUUACAAAGUAGUUAAGAUUGGAUUUGAUCACAAGAUUAUAGUGGAUAAACUUAAUCCCACAAUAUAAGGUCAAAUCCCCAAGAAUUAGGAACUAAUCCCAC